GACGAACCGUGCGAACGUUGUUCGGAAUCACUGGGCUUAAAGGGCGCGUAGGCGGCUUGCCAAGUCAGGGGUGAAAUCUUUCGGCUUAACCGGAAAAGUGCCUUUGAUACUGGCAGGCUAGAGGGAGGUAGGGGCAUGCGGAACUUCCGGUGGAGCGGUGAAAUGCGUUGAUAUCGGAAGGAACGCCGGUGGCGAAAGCGGCGUGCUGGACCUCUUCUGACGUUGAGGCGCGAAAGCUAGGGGAGCAAACGGG
rnacentral:rRNA from 1 species